UCCCGUGCGGGGGCGGGGCCGCAAGCGAGGAGCCCUCCCCCGCCCUUGCCGCCCCGCGGGCGCUUCCUGGGCUGGGCGCGCGCCAGAGCUGCAACCUUGUGCGGGGGGCGGUGGGGGCGGGACCUCCGCUGCCUCGCGGGGCGUGGCGCGGGGAAGCCGGUGCUCCACCUGCCAGGGGUCCGCGAAGGCACUCCUAGCCGGCCCCACGCGCACCCUGGAGAGCGCAGGGGGUCGAGCUGCGGGGGCGCCCCGCCGCGGGGUCCCGAGCCCCAGCCUGCAGCCGGGAGCGCGUGCACACCUGCAGACACACCGUGCAGUGCAUACGUGCGUGCAGCGUUGAGCCCGUGCACACCGUGCCGUGCACAGCUGCUUACACACCACUGCAUGCACACAGUGCCAUGCACACAUGCGUGCACACCUGCUGUGCACACCUGCCGCGCGCCCUCCCGAGACCCCUGCCCAGCGGAGCGAUAUAGGAACGGUGCCCCCAGAGCAGCUCAGCCUUCCUGCUCACGUGCAGCGCGCGGGAGGCCCAAGACCAGUUCGAGGACAUUAAGUCCGACCUUAAGAGAGGGUGGGACCGAAAGCUUUGUGCAGGUAAGACAUGGCCAAACAAGCACAUGAGAAAAUGCUCUGCAUCACUGGCCAUCAGGGAAAUACAAACCAAAACCACAAUGGGAUACCACUUCACACCAGUGAGAAUGGUGAAAAUUCACAAGGCAGGAAACAACAAAUGUUGGAGAGGAUGCGGAGAAAGGGGAACCAACCCUCUUGCACUGUUGGUGGGAAUGUGAACUGGUGCAGCCACUCUGGAAAACUGUGUGGAGGUUCCUCAAAGAGUUAAAAAUAGACCUGCCCUACGACCCAGCAAUUGCACUGCUGGGGAUUUACCCCAAAGAUACAGAUGUAGUGAAAUGCUGAAACACUUGCACCCCGAUGUUUCUAGCAGCAAUGUCCACAAUAGCCAAACUGUGGAAGGAGCCUCGGUGUCCAUCGAAAGAUGAAUGGAUAAAGAAGAUGUGGUCUAUGUAUACAAUGGAAUAUUCCUCAGCCAUUAGAAACGACAAAUACCCACCAUUUGCUUCAACGUGGAUGGAACUGGAGGGUAUUAUGCUGAGUGAA
rnacentral:lncRNA from 1 species